UCCAAAGCUGGUUUAAGCCUCAACUGGGUUGUUUUAUCAACCAAGCCCAAACUCAAUUUUUGGCUAAACAACAUAGCUUAACCAAAAAUCGAACAUCAUACAAUGAAUUUACAGGCAUGAAACUCAAUAUAACAUGCUCAAAGUACCUCUCUGAUCAAAACUGAUUUUAAAUAAUAAACAUCAACACAAAAAACUAUUAUUAUCAUGCCACUAAUUACUUCCAAACUCAUCAUGAAUUUGCAUAAGCUCAACCACAUUAACUAGUCUAUGAGUUUAUAAAGUUCAGUCCAGUUUAUUACAAAUCCUAGAAUUAAAUAAGUUACAAAAUGUAAAUUACAUUAGUGCCUUAAACUAAAUUACAACAAAAUAAAAAUGAAGUUCCUGAACUAUUACUGCUCCAGCUUUAAAUUAGCCAAGACUCACAUGAGUUUGACCAUGUGGAAGGGUCAGAUUCACAAGACAUCUUCAAAUAUAGGGACCUACAAUGUUAUCAAGUUAACCCUAAAACAAAAAUGAGUAAAGCAAAAUAAUGUUGUCCAUAAGUCUAACCAUGUUGAAGGUCAGCCCUACAGACAAGAAAAGAUUUCCAAACUAUGAUAUACUCCAUAGUUCUCAUCUUAGUAAAGAAGAAAAGAGGGGUAAAGAAAAUAACUUAGGUAUAUACUCAAAGAGUCAAGACUGUUAUGCACUAAUCAGGAAUGAAUCUGACCAUUUGAAGGGUCAGAUUCAUUUUUCCUUCUGUGCUACUAUAAAAAAGGCAUUUUUGAACAUUGUUUUCAUAGGUAUAUACACUGAUUCAACAAUCAACCAUAUUAAGUUUUAACACAUGUGCAACACAACAUCACAAAUUUAAUAAUUAAAUUCAACAAUCAUUUAAACUAAUAUUAACACAUAGUUCAAUUAACUCCAAAUUCAACCAAGUCAUGAUUUUUAGAACUAAACAUCAAAGAUCAACUAACCAAACAAGUUCCAAAUACAGAUUAUUGAACUCAAAAAUUGAUUCCAUUCAAGAUGAACAUUGUACAUACCUUGAAACUAAAAAGUAUAGUAGAGGAAUGACCAAAUAAAGGUCAAAAAGACCAAAAGACAAAAGGAAGCCAAACUUCAGCACCAACAACCAGCAAAACACAGCAGUAAACCUAGACCAAAUGAAGAUAGUUUUGAAACCCGAAAAUUAGCUAAAGGAAAUAGGGAAAUCCUCCACUUCAAACCAUAUUUUUAACUUGUAAAGAAUCAGAAAAUGAGAGGUUUUGAAGUUUUUUUUCAAGAUUUCUAGAAUCUGAACUUUCCAGAAGGAAAAUAAAGCUUUUGUGCAGAGAAUAAGGCUGAAAGUCUAUCUGAUUGUGUGAGGGAAUGUUUUCUUUAUAUUGAGUGCCCAAAGAUCAUCCCAAAAAGGAAUAUUCUGACCUGGUAUAACAUAUUUUUACAGUUGUACUAUCCUUUUUCCUUAUCCAAAACCAGUAUUUGCUAAGGAUAAUGACAUUACUAUUAAGUUCUAGAAUUUCCUAAUUUUACCCAAAGUGAAACCCAAAUUUUACCCUUCGAAUUAGCACCUAUUUCAAUUUUAUCCUAAACUUUUAGGUUCAAUUAAGUCUCUAAAGUUUCUAUCUGUGAGAAAAUUAGAACAAACAAGGACAAUACCAAAAAGGUUGAAAAUUUGGAUCAAAAUGCCUAAGCAGGUCGAAUUGGUGCAGUCUAAACUUAAUACAAGGAAAUGCUUAAUUGAUUAAAACUAAACUAGAACUAAAACUAACGAUAAUGCAUUUAAACGAUAAUCUAAAAUCAGAAAUGCAAUUACAAGGAAACAACUCGAAUUCAGGCUCUAUCAAUUUAUAGAAUUUAAACAAAUGAAAUAAUAAAAGCCUAAAUACUUGUUAAUUCUCCUAAAAUAAAACUGACUGUAAACAAGAAAAAUAAAAUCAUGGAAAAACAGAGUAGAUAACAAACUAAACUAAAAAAACGAAACCUAAACUAAUGAUUAAUUCCUAAAUGACCAAAUGCAGAAGGAGACAACAAAAAUCUAAAACAUGCAAUUACGGGCAGAGCAAACAUAAUGAAGAAUUAAUCAGAGAAAACAAAAAAAGAAAAAGAGAUGGACAAGAAAAGAGAAGAAAGAAAAAGAUAGACAGUGGUUCAGAAUUACCUAUACCAGCGCGAAAGACAGAUUAGAAUCGAAGAACUGGUCGGAGCUUGAACUGGUUAGGGCCAACUUGAAAAAUAGGUCAAACCCACAUGAAUCAACUGCUCUCAUCAAAAGCAGUUGACUCAUGUGGAGUUGAGCCAUAAACACUUCCAGAAUCGACUUGGUAGAGAUGUUUAGGGUUUCAAAAUCUAAGAUCCAAAAUUCAAACAAAUUGAGGCCGAUUUGGAGGGGGCUAAUGGUAGCUUAGGGUUUAGAGAGGGGCAAAGAUAAUUGGAUGUGAAUUCGGAGCGGAUUGGAGCAGUUAGGAUUUUUGGCCGGAUUUUCGAUCUAAAAUUCGAGGGUUUAGGCUGGGAUUCGAGGGAAAAGAGUUGGAGAUAUGGAAUGAGGAGGUGAAGGGGGGUUCAGGGUGUAAAUUUGGGGAGAUUUGGAACACCGGAACCGUCGUGAGGCGAUUUCCGGCGGGUGGUCUACGGUGGAGCCAGUGAGGGGUAAGAGAGAGGGUGAGAGAGAUGAAGUAAGGGGUCUUUU
rnacentral:lncRNA from 1 species